UACAGAGGGUGCAAGCGUUGUUCGGAAUUAUUGGGCGUAAAGGGCGCGUAGGCGGUGCGGUAAGUCACCUGUGAAACCUCUGGGCUUAACUCAGAGCCUGCAGGCGAAACUGCCGUGCUUGAGUGUGGGAGAGGUGCGUGGAAUUCCCGGUGUAGCGGUGAAAUGCGUAGAUGAUCGGGAGGAACACCUGUAGGCGGAAAGCGGCGCAGCUGGACCACAACUGACGCUGAGGCGCGAAAGCUAGGGGAGCAAACAGG
rnacentral:rRNA from 1 species